rnacentral:rRNA from 1 species
CAGCCGCCGCGGGAAUACGGAGGGGGCUAGCGUUGUUCGGAAUUACUGGGCGUAAAGCGCGCGUAGGCGGCUUGGUAAGUUAGAGGUGAAAGCCUGGAGCUCAACUCCAGAAUUGCCUUUAAGACUGCCGAGCUAGCAGGUGAGAGAGGUAAGUGGAAUUCCGAGUGUAGAGGUGAAAUUCGUAGACAUUCGGAAGAACACCAGUGGCGAAGGCGGCCAUCUGGGACAACACUGACGCUGAGGCACGAAAGCGUGGGGAGCAAACAGGAUUAGAUACCCCGGUAGUCCCUGUCUCUUAUAU